UGACCUGCACAGGAAGCCUGUGCUCAUCGUCUUUUCCUGGCACAGUGCAAGCCAAGGCAACCCUUGGGAAUCUCCAUGCAGGACUACCUGGCUGGAAGCUGCUGGCCGCCAGUGCUGAACACCUGCUGAUGAGAAAACUGAAGCUCAAAGAGAGGAAGCAACUUAGUGAAUGAGCAAUUAUCAAGGAGCAUUGGCUGAUGUCUGAGCUCAGCACCAUCCCAAUAUGGAGCUUCUGUUCACCCCAAUAUAGCUGACGAAACAGAAGCUGAAUAAGGUUGGAUAGACCAAUCCACAACAAGGUAAGCCUAUUCAAUGCCAGAUCCACCUUACUCCAAACUGGUUAGAGUAUUUUCUGCUACAGUAUCCUGCAAACUCAUUAUCAAGCUCCCUAAAUUGCAUUUGGU